GACGAACGCUGGCGGCGUGCUUAACACAUGCAAGUCGAACGGAAAGGCCCUGCUUUUGUGGGGUGCUCGAGUGGCGAACGGGUGAGUAACACGUGAGUAACCUGCCCUUGACUUUGGGAUAACUUCAGGAAACUGGGGCUAAUACCGGAUAGGAGCUCCUGCUGCAUGGUGGGGGUUGGAAAGUUUCGGCGGUUGGGGAUGGACUCGCGGCUUAUCAGCUUGUUGGUGGGGUAGUGGCUUACCACGGCUUUGACGGGUAGCCGGCCUGGGAGGGUGACCGGCCACAUUGGGACUGAGAUACGGCCCAGACUCCUACGGGAGGCAGCAGUGGGGAAUAUUGCACAAUGGGCGGAAGCCUGAUGCAGCAACGCCGCGUGCGGGAUGACGGCCUUCGGGUUGUAAACCGCUUUCGCCUGUGACGAAGCGUGAGUGACGGUAAUGGGUAAAGAAGCACCGGCUAACUACGUG
rnacentral:rRNA from 1 species